GAUUAACGCUGGCGGCGUGCAUAACACAUGCAAGUCGAACGAAGUGGCGUACGGGUGGGUAACGCGUGAGUAACCUGCCUUAGAGAAGGGGAUAUCCUUUGUAAACGAAGAAUAAUACCCUAUGCUCUAAUAUGGACUUGCGUCUGAUUAGUUAGUUGGUGAGGUAACGGCUCACCAAGUCAGCGAUCAGUAGCCGGCUUGAGAGAGUGUACGGCCACAUUGGGACUGAGACACGGCCCAGACUCUACGGGAGGCAGCAGUGGGGAAGUUUGCACAAUGGGGGAAACCCUGAUGCAGCGACGCCGCGUGAUUUAGAAGGCCUUCGGGUUGUAAAAAUCUGUUCUAUGGGAAGCAGUACCAUAGGAAUAAGGACCGGCUAAUUACGUGCCAGCAGCCGCGGUAAUUC
rnacentral:rRNA from 1 species